rnacentral:rRNA from 1 species
UACGUAGGGUGCAAGCGUUGUCCGGAAUUAUUGGGCGUAAAGAGCUCGUAGGCGGUUUGUCGCGUCUGCUGUGAAAACUCGGGGCUUAACUCCGGGCCUGCAGUGGGUACGGGCAGACUAGAGUGCGGUAGGGGAGACUGGAAUUCCUGGUGUAGCGGUGAAAUGCGUAGAUAUCGAGAGGAACACCUGCGGCGAAGGCGGGUUGCUGGGCUGACACUGACGCUGAUGCGCGAAAGCUAGGGGAGCGAACGGG